AUUGAACGCUGGCGGCAGGCCUAACACAUGCAAGUCGAACGAGUGGCGGACGGGUGAGUAAUGUCGGGGAAACUGCCUGAUGGAGGGGGAUAACUACUGGAAACGGUAGCUAAUACCGCAUAACUUCGGCUGUGCACAGAUGGGAUUAGAUAGUAGGUGGGGUAACGGCUCACCUAGGAGACGCUCAAUAGCAGGUCUGAGAGGAUGACCAGCCACACUGGAACUGAGACACGGUCCAGACUCCUACGGGAGGCAGCAGUGGGGAAUAUUGCACAAUGGGCGAAAGCCUGAUGCAGCCAUGCCGCGUGUAUGAAGAAGGCCUUCGGGUUGUAAAGUACUUUCAGCGGGGAGGCGUUACCCGCAGAAGAAGCACCGGCUAACUCCGUGCCAGCCGCCGCGGUAAUUC
rnacentral:rRNA from 1 species